rnacentral:lncRNA from 1 species
GCGGUGAUCGGGCAAGGCACGGAGCGCGGAGGGAAAGGAACGGAGGGGGAAAAAACACACAACAACAACAACAGCAACCCCAAACCCACACACAUCAGAGGCCAGCGCUUUUCUCCGCUUUACGGCUGCUGGAACCAAUCUCUCUCUCUCUCCCGCCUCCGUUAAGAGGGCUCAGCGCCGCCGUUCCGCGCGCCCAGGCUCCCUCCUCAGUAAAGAUUUCUCAGGUGGACACUGGGUAAUAGCUUUUGAUGAUUCUGGACCUUUUUAAUUUGACCCGAACCAUGGAUCAAAGGGAGAAAAAGCAUAGAAAAAUAAUGCCUCAAGACAUGACACUGACUGGGACAAAAUAAAUAUCCGAAUGACAAAAUGUGAUAGAUUUGU